rnacentral:rRNA from 1 species
GAUUAGUGGCGAACGGGUGAGUAACACGUGAGCAACCUGCCCCUCACUCUGGGAUAAGCGCUGGAAACGGCGUCUAAUACUGGAUACGAGGCACAACCGCAUGGUUAGUGUCUGGAAAGAUUUUUUGGUGGGGGAUGGGCUCGCGGCCUAUCAGCUUGUUGGUGAGGUAAUGGCUCACCAAGGCGUCGACGGGUAGCCGGCCUGAGAGGGUGACCGGCCACACUGGGACUGAGACACGGCCCAGACUCCUACGGGAGGCAGCAGUGGGGAAUAUUGCACAAUGGGCGGAAGCCUGAUGCAGCAACGCCGCGUGAGGGAUGACGGCCUUCGGGUUGUAAACCUCUUUUAGCAGGGAAGAAGCGAAAGUGACGGUACCUGCAGAAAAAGCACCGGCUAACUACGUGCCAGCAGCCGCGGUAAUACGUAGGGUGCAAGCGUUAUCCGGAAUUAUUGGGCGUAAAGAGCUCGUAGGCGGUUUGUCGCGUCUGCUGUGAAAUCCCGAGGCUCAACCUCGGGCCUGCAGUGGGUACGGGCAGACUAGAGUGCGGUAGGGGAGAUUGGAAUUCCUGGUGUAGCGGUGGAAUGCGCAGAUAUCAGGAGGAACACCGAUGGCGAAGGCAGAUCUCUGGGCCGUAACUGACGCUGAGGAGCGAAAGGGUGGGGAGCAAACAGGCUUAGAUACCCUGGUAGUCCACCCCGUAAACGUUGGGAACUAGUUGUGGGGUCCUUUCCACGGAUUCCGUGACGCAGCUAACGCAUUAAGUUCCCCGCCUGGGGAGUACGGCCGCAAGGCUAAAACUCAAAGGAAUUGACGGGGACCCGCACAAGCGGCGGAGCAUGCGGAUUAAUUCGAUGCAACGCGAAGAACCUUACCAAGGCUUGACAUACACGAGAACGGGCCAGAAAUGGUCAACUCUUUGGACACUCGUGAACAGGUGGUGCAUGGUUGUCGUCAGCUCGUGUCGUGAGAUGUUGGGUUAAGUCCCGCAACGAGCGCAACCCUCGUUCUAUGUUGCCAGCACGUAAUGGUGGGAACUCAUGGGAUACUGCCGGGGUCAACUCGGAGGAAGGUGGGGAUGACGUCAAAUCAUCAUGCCCCUUAUGUCUUGGGCUUCACGCAUGCUACAAUGGCCGGUACAAAGGGCUGCAAUACCGUGAGGUGGAGCGAAUCCCAAAAAGCCGGUCCCAGUUCGGAUUGAGGUCUGCAACUCGACCUCAUGAAGUCGGAGUCGCUAGUAAUCGCAGAUCAGCAACGCUGCGGUGAAUACGUUCCCGGGUCUUGUACACACCGCCCGUCAAGUCAUGAAAGUCGGUAACACCUGAAGCC